rnacentral:rRNA from 1 species
AGGUUAAAACUCAAAUGAAUUGACGGGGGCCCGCACAAGCGGUGGAGCAUGUGGUUUAAUUCGAUGCAACGCGAAGAACCUUACCUACCCUUGACAUCGUGCGAACUUGGUAGAGAUACCUUGGUGCCUUCGGGAACGCACAGACAGGUGCUGCAUGGCUGUCGUCAGCUCGUGUUGUGAAAUGUUGGGUUAAGUCCCGUAACGAGCGCAACCCUUGUCCCUAUUUGCCAGCGAUUCGGUCGGGAACUCUAGGGAGACUGCCGGUGACAAACCGGAGGAAGGUGGGGACGACGUCAAGUCAUCAUGGCCCUUACGGGUAGGGCUACACACGUGCUACAAUGGCCGGUACAAAGGGUUGCGAAUCCGCGAGGUGGAGCUAAUCCCGAAAAGCCGGUCUCAGUCCGGAUCGGAGUCUGCAACUCGACUCCGUGAAGUCGGAAUCGCUAGUAAUCGUGCAUCAGAAUGGCACGGUGAAUACGUUCCCGGGCCUUGUACACACCGCCCGUCACACCAUGGGAGUGGACUGCACCAGAAGUGGUUAGCCUAACUUCGGAGGGCGAUCACCACGGUGUGGUUCAUGACUGGGGUGAAGUCGUAACAAGGUAGCCGUAGGGGAACCUGCGGCUG